GGAGGGAUCAUUACACAAAUAUGAAGGCGGGCUGGAACCUCUCGGGGUUACAGCCUUGCUGAAUUAUUCACCCUUGUCUUUUGCGUACUUCUUGUUUCCUUGGUGGGUUCGCCCACCACUAGGACAAACAUAAACCUUUUGUAAUUGCAAUCAGCGUCAGUAACAAAUUAAUAAUUACAACUUUCAACAACGGAUCUCUUGGUUCUGGCAUCGAUGAAGAACGCAGCGAAAUGCGAUAAGUAGUGUGAAUUGCAGAAUUCAGUGAAUCAUCGAAUCUUUGAACGCACAUUGCGCCCUUUGGUAUUCCAAAGGGCAUGCCUGUUCGAGCGUCAUUUGUACCCUCAAGCUUUGCUUGGUGUUGGGCGUCUUGUCUCUAGCUUUGCUGGAGACUCGCCUUAAAGUAAUUGGCAGCCGGCCUACUGGUUUCGGAGCGCAGCACAAGUCGCACUCUCUAUCAGCAAAGGUCUAGCAUCCAUUAAGCCUUUUUUUUCAACUUUUGACCUCGGAUCAGGUAGGGAUACCCGCUGAACUUA
rnacentral:rRNA from 1 species